CAACAGUGAGGCAGGAACAGGUGGCAGGGAGUAACCAGGACCGACCCAAAGUGUGCAGGCGCCAGCAGUCAGAAGAGCGCCCCAGCUGGAUGGGAGGCCGGCUGCUCUGUGUACCAGGCGUCCCACUGUUGAGUCAUCAGUGACUCGGUCCAGAGGAGCCUCACGCGGGUGUGGGAUGCAGCCAGCCAGAAGAGCGAGCAUCCUGGGGCCUGGAGCAGCAGCCACGUGAGGACACAGGAGGAGGAGGGAACGCAUGCACUCGGUGGUAGCAGGCUUGCUAUUGCCUGACCAUGGAGCAGCCCGCCAGCCAGGAUGGGACCACAAGGGCUUCGGGACUUGGAACUGGCAGUGGGGUCCAGGGACACUGCUCACUGGAGGCAACGACACAGACACAGGAACCUGACCUUGAGGGCUCUCGCUGUGGAGAUUGAGGCUGAAGCAUGGGUUUGGUCAGGGCGGCUCCACAGUCUGCAAUCGCUACUUCUGAAAAUUGCACUUUUUGGUUCAUAAUAAGGGUCUCGCUGUGUAAUUCAGGCUGGCCUCAAACUCAAAGGCAAUCCUCCUGCCUCAGCCUCCUAAGUGAAAAUUAAGCUGCAUCCAAGAUGAACAAGAUCUUGUGAGGAACCAUCCAUCUACCGUGCCAUGCUGCUUUCUACCUAAGAAGAUCAGGUUGGGUGAUGCUAUCUAAGUAGUUAAAUAAACCAAGGAGAAGAUUAA
rnacentral:lncRNA from 1 species